GCCUACGGGGGGCAGCAGUGGGGGAUAUUGCACAAUGGGGGGAACCCUGAUGCAGCGACGCCGCGUGGGUGAAGAAGCGCCUCGGCGCGUAAAGCCCUGUCAGCAGGGAAGAAAAUGACGGUACCUGAAGAAGAAGCCCCGGCUAACUACGUGCCAGCAGCCGCGGUAAUACGUAGGGGGCAAGCGUUAUCCGGAUUUACUGGGUGUAAAGGGAGCGUAGACGGCCAGACAAGUCUGAAGUGAAAAUCCAGCGCUUAACGUUGGAAGUGCUUUGGAAACUGCCGGGCUAGAGUGCAGGAGGGGCG
rnacentral:rRNA from 1 species